rnacentral:rRNA from 1 species
CAGAGGGUGCAAGCGUUAAUCGGAAUUACUGGGCGUAAAGCGCGCGUAGGUGGUUUGUUAAGUUGGAUGUGAAAGCCCCGGGCGUCAACCUGGGAACUGCAUCCAAAACUAGGCAAGCUAGAGUAUGGUAGAGGGUGGUGGAAUUUCCUGUGUAGCGGUGAAAUGCGUAGAUAUAGGAAGGAACACCAGUGGCGAAGGCGACCACCUGGACUGAUACUGACACUGAGGUGCGAAAGCGUGGGGAGCAAACAGGAUU